rnacentral:rRNA from 1 species
CCAAUAGCGUAUAUUAAAGUUGUUGCAGUUAAAAAGCUCGUAGUUGAAUUUCGGGAUCAAAGAAUCGGUCAUGCCUUGGUAUGCACUGGUUUUAUUGGUUCUCACCUUCUAAAGAACCAUAAUGUCAUUCAUUUGAUGUUAUGGGGAAUUAGGACUGUUACCUUGAAAAAAUUAGAGUGUUUAAAGCAGGCUUACGCUUGAAUACAUUAGCAUGGAAUAACGAAAUAGGACGUUUGAUUUUAUUUUGUUGGUUUCUAGGAUCGACGUAAUGAUUAAUAGGGAUAGUUGGGGGCAUUAGUAUUCAAUUGUCAGAGGUGAAAUUCUUGGAUUUAUUGAAGACUAACUACUGCGAAAGCAUUUGCCAAGGAUGUUUUCAUUAAUCAAGAACGAAAGUUAGGGGAUCGAAGACGAUCAGAUACCGUCGUAGUCUUAACCAUAAACUAUGCCGACUAGGGAUCGGAUGAUGUUAAUUUUUUAAUGACUCAUUCGGCGCCUUACG